CACGUAGGGCGCAAGCGUUGUCCGGAAUUGUUGGGCGUAAAGAGCUCGUAGGCGGUCUGUUACGUCUGCUGUGAAAACCCAGGGCUUAACCCUGGGCUUGCAGUGGAUACGGGCAGACUAGAGGCAGGUAGGGGAGAAUGGAAUUCCCGGUGUAGCGGUGAAAUGCGCAGAUAUCGGGAGGAACACCCGUGGCGAAGGCGGUUCUCUGGGACGGUACUGACGCUGAGACGCGAAAGCGUGGGGAGAGAACAGG
rnacentral:rRNA from 1 species